AAUUUGCUGGGCUGGGGGCAAAAGUGCAAAUAUAGACCCACAUGUGAAAUGUAUAAACAUUUUUAAGUUAUAAAUCAACCAAUGAACUAUUAAAUAAAAAUAAAUUUUGUUCUCCUAUCUUGAUAAACUUCAAAAAGACCCGGAAGGCAUGUUUGAAUUUGGAACUCUUGGUCUCCUUGGAGCUGUAUUACAGCAUGGUGGCACAGGGAGAGCUGUCUCCCAGCAGACUUUCCCAGAGUCAACUUCCAAAUCAACUCCCAGGGGUGAGUUCAAGUUGGCAGAAGAAGCCACAAGGGGAGAACAAAUGUUACCCACUUCAAUGAAGAAAUGUUCUGCCUUCAGGGAAAACAGAUUCAGUCCCAUUCAGUAUGAUACUUGGAUGGGGUAUGGAGUUAUCAAAGAGGGGUGGAAUGAUGAGAGGGUGUGAAAAUGGCAUCCUGCUGAAAAUUAAAGAAUACAUUUGAACUUCCUUCCAUCUUAGGACUUUUUCACAGAUUUGCUGUUCAUUACUGUGGGAGAAUGUGCACUGUGCACAUUCCUGAGGUCACCAACCAGUAAAUACAUCUCCAUUUGGCAAGGUAAGGAGGACACUGGC